rnacentral:rRNA from 1 species
GCAUAUCAAUAAGCGCAGGAAAAGAAACCAACAGGGAUUACCUCAGUAACGGCGAGUGAAGCGGUAAUAGCUCAAAUUUGAAAUCUGGCCUCUCGGGGUCCGAGUUGUAAUUUGUAGAGGAUGUUUUGGGUACCGCCCCGGUCUAAAUUUCUUGGAACAGGAUGUCAAAGAGGGUGAGAAUCCCGUCUUGGACCGGCGGUAGGGCCUGUGUAAAACUCCUUCGACGAGUCGAGUUGUUUGGGAAUGCAGCUCAAAAUGGGUGGUAAAUUUCAUCUAAAGCUAAAUAUUGGCCAGAGACCGAUAGCGCACAAGUAGAGUGAUCGAAAGAUGAAAAGCACUUUGAAAAGAGAGUUAAACAGUAUGUGAAAUUGUUGAAAGGGAAGCGCUUGCAACCAGACUUGAGCGCGGCGGUUCCCCCGGUCUUUUGGCCGGGCUACUCCGUCGUGUCCAGGCCAACAUCGGUUCUGAGGGUCGGUCAAAGGCUCUGGGAAUGUAUCUACCCACGGGUAGACUUAUAGACCAGGGUGUCAUGCGGCCUCUCGGGACCGAGGAACGCGCUUCGGCUCGGAUGUUGGCGUAAUGGUUGUCAGCGACCCGUCUUGAAACACGGACCAAGGAGUCUAACAUCUAUGCGAGUGUUUGGGUGUCAAACCCGGAACGCGAAAUGAAAGUGAACGGAGGUAGGAAGCCUUUGGCUGCACUAUCGACCGAUCCUGAAGUUUACGGAAGGAUUUGAGUAAGAGCAUAGCUGUUGGGACCCGAAAGAUGGUGAACUAUGCCUGAAUAGGGUGAAGCCAGAGGAAACUCUGGUGGAGGCUCGCAGCGGUUCUGACGUGCAAAUCGAUCGUCAAAUUUGGGUAUAGGGGCGAAAGACUAAUCGAACCAUCUGGUAGCUGGUCUGCG